AAAAUUCAGUCAAUCAGGAAAAGAAAGAAAGCAUUAAUUUAUUCAUUUAUUUCUUCUGUAAAAUAAAUUUAAAUAUAUUAUUUUUAAUAUGUUUAAUUUAACUUCCUACAAGCAUUUAAUAGUUUCUUUAUUGCUGUUUCUUUUUUCAACUAAAACUGUGUUUUUUUCUUAAAAAAUUAUAUACUUCUUUCAGGAAGAAGGUGCAAACUUUUUUCCUUGUUCUCCGUUGAAUUCAUC
rnacentral:lncRNA from 1 species